rnacentral:rRNA from 1 species
GACGAACGCUGGCGGCGUGCUUAACACAUGCAAGUCAAACGGAAAGGCCCUGCUUUUGUGGGGUGCUCGAGUGGCGAACGGGUGAGUAACACGUGAGUAACCUGCCCUUGACUUUGGGAUAACUUCAGGAAACUGGGGCUAAUACCGGAUAGGAGCUCCUGCUGCAUGGUGGGGGUUGGAAAGUUUCGGCGGUUGGGGAUGGACUCGCGGCUUAUCAGCUUGUUGGUGGGGUAGUGGCUUACCAAGGCUUUGACGGGUAGCCGGCCUGAGAGGGUGACCGGCCACAUUGGGACUGAGAUACGGCCCAGACUCCUACGGGAGGCAGCAGUGGGGAAUAUUGCACAAUGGGCGGAAGCCUGAUGCAGCAACGCCGCGUGCGGGAUGACGGCCUUCGGGUUGUAAACCGCUUUCGCCUGUGACGAAGCGUGAGUGACGGUAAUGGGUAAAGAAGCACCGGCUAACUACG